rnacentral:rRNA from 1 species
AUAGUAUCUGUGGAUUAAAGGUGGCUUUUGGGCUGUCGCAGAUGGAUGAGCCUGCGUUGGAUUAGCUAGUUGGUGGGGUAAGGGCCUACCAAGGCUACGAUCCAUAGCUGAUUUGAGAGGAUGAUCAGCCACAUUGGGACUGAGACACGGCCCAAACUCCUACGGGAGGCAGCAGUGAGGAAUAUUGGACAAUGGGGGCAACCCUGAUCCAGCAAUGCCAUGUGUGUGAAGAAGGCCUUAGGGUUGUAAAGCACUUUAGUUGGGGAAGAAAGCUUUGAGGUUAAUAGCCUUGAGGAAAAGGACGUUACCCAAAGAAUAAGCACCGGCUAACUCCGUGCCAGCAGCCGCGGUAAUACGGGGGGUGCAAGCGUUAAUCGGAAUUACUGGGCGUAAAGGGUCUGUAGGUGGUUUGUUAAGUCAGAUGUGAAAGCCUAGGGCUCAACCUUGGAACUGCAUUUGAUACUGGUAAACUAGAGUACGGUAGAGGAAUGGGGAAUUUCUGGUGUAGCGGUGAAAUGCGUAGAGAUCAGAAGGAACACCAAUGGCGAAGGCAACAUUCUGGACCGAUACUGACACUGAGGGACGAAAGCGUGGGGAUCAAACAGGAUUAGAUACCCUGGUAGUCCACGCUGUAAACGAUGAGUACUAGCUGUUGGAGUCGGUGUAAAGGCUCUAGUGGCGCAGCUAACGCGAUAAGUACUCCGCCUGGGGACUACGGCCGCAAGGCUAAAACUCAAAGGAAUUGACGGGGACCCGCACAAGCGGUGGAGCAUGUAGUUUAAUUCGAUGCAACGCGAAGAACCUUACCUGGUCUUGACAUCCUGCGAUCUUUCUAGAGAUAGAUUGGUGCCUUCGGGAACGCAGUGACAGGUGCUGCACGGCUGUCGUCAGCUCGUGUUGUGAAAUGUUGGGUUAAGUCCC